rnacentral:rRNA from 1 species
ACGAACGCUGGCGGCGUGCCUAAUACAUGCAAGUUGAGCGCUGAAGGUUGGUACUUGUACCAACUGGAUGAGCAGCGAACGGGUGAGUAACGCGUGGGGAAUCUGCCUUUGAGCGGGGGACAACAUUUGGAAACGAAUGCUAAUACCGCAUAAAAACUUUAAACACAAGUUUUAAGUUUGAAAGAUGCAAUUGCAUCACUCAAAGAUGAUCCCGCGUUGUAUUAGCUAGUUGGUGAGGUAAAGGCUCACCAAGGCGAUGAUACAUAGCCGACCUGAGAGGGUGGUCGGCCACAUUGGGACUGAGACACGGCCCAAACUCCUUCGGGAGGCAGCAGUAGGGAAUCUUCGGCAAUGGACGAAAGUCUGACCGAGCAACGCCGCGUGAGUGAAGAAGGUUUUCGGAUCGUAAAACUCUGUUGGUAGAGAAGAACGUUGGUGAGAGUGGAAAGCUCAUCAAGUGACGGUAACUACCCAGAAAGGGACGGCUAACUACGUG